UUUAUACUGUUAGACGGAUAGCUUGGUUUUGGUUUUGAAAAAGGACGUGGCAAGCUGCGAUAAGCUUGGGGGAGUUGCACGCAAACUUUGAUCCCAAGAUGUCCAAUUACUCCGAGAGGAGAGAAUACGCCGGGAAUUGAAACAUCUUAGUACCGGCAGGAAAAGAAAACAAUAAGUGAUGCCCUUAUUAGCAGAGAGCGAAAAGGGUAGAGGGCAAGCUGAAUCUGCUUUUGAAAAGAAGUUAGAGAUGUGGUUGAGAUAAAUGGCUAAGUCGACGAGUCAAACUUUGCUGGAAAGCAAGGCCUUAGAGGGUGAUAGCCCCGUAGAUUAAGUUGAUAUGCUGUUCUCUAAAAGAGUAGGGCUUCCUGGAUUGGGGGUCUGAAUAUGGCAGGAUUAACUGCCAACCCUAAAUAAAACCAAAGUCCGAUAGUGAACUAGUACCGCGAGGGAAAGCUGAAAAGUACUCUUAACAGAGUGUGAAAAGACUUGAAAUCUAACAGUUACAGUUUGUUACUGCUUCUACGGAAGUUGUAACGUACGUUUUGAAAAACGGGCCAGGGAGUUUUUCUAUGUGGCAAGGUUAAUCAACUUUGUUGAGCAACCAAAGCGAAAGCAAGUCCUAAUCGGCGUUAGUCACAUGGUUAAGACCUGAAGCCAGAUGAUCUAUUCAUGGGCAAGGUGAAGUCUCCCGAAAGGGGGAUGGAGGCCUGAACCGUUGUUGUGUGCAUGCACUCGAAUGACCUGUGAAUAGGGGUGAAAAGCCUAUCUAAUCUGGCGAUGGCUGGUUCCCGCUGAAAUAUGCCUACGUAUAGUCUUAUCUAGCUUUGUUGACGGUGUAAAGCACGGAUGGAAAUUGCAGGGGCUAAUGCCUACGGAUUUCUUUCCAACUCAGAAGCUGUCAACUGCUUAAGAUAGGAAACAGGGAUGGUAUGUAAGAUACUAUUCCGAGACCCGAACAAGGGAGACUAGAGUUAAGGUCCCAAAAUUCAUGCUAAGUGUAUCAAAAGGUGUCUUGAACCUGAGACACUGGGGAUGUAAGCUUAGAAGCAGCUAUCAUUUAAAGAAAGCGUAACAGCUCACCUAUUGAGGUUCAGGGCCCUGAAAAUGGACGGGGCUAAGCAUGAUACCGAUACUUUAGAGGCACUCAGAUGAGUGUUCUGGUAAGCGGGCGUCUUCAUUGUACUGAAGGCUUUACGAGAGUAAGGUUGGAACGAUGAGGAAUGAGAAUCCUGGUAAUAGUAGGAUAUGAUUUUUCUGAGAAUGAAAAAUGCCGCAAGAGCAAGGUUUCCUUGGCAAUAUAUUUUAGCCAAGGGUUAGUCAGUACCUAAGUUGUACCUUAACUGAGUACGACGAUGGACAUCAGGUUAAUAUUCCUGAACUAAUUUAAUCUUAUAUAAUGCAAUUUCGCUUCUGGAUAGGUAACCACUUGAAAGAGUGAUUCUAUAAAGAAAUUUGUCGAGGGUAAUCCUUAGAAUCAGAUGAAUUUAUAGGACAAAAUUAUUGAAUCCAGGAGCCAGUGAAAAUGUUGUAUUCUUGAUUAAAUUAACUGUACCCACAACCGGCACUGGUGCUCUGGCUUAGUAGGCUAAGGCAUGUAAGGACAAACCAAUCAAGGGAAUUCAGCAAAUUAGCCCUGUAACUUCGGUUUAAGGGGUGUCUAUCUUUGUGUUCUCAGUAAUGUUGAUGCAUUGGUAGAUCUCAGUAACAAGGACGGCACGACUGUUUAACAAAAACGUAGCUAAGUGCUAUUCCGAAAGGACGUGUAUACUUAGUGAGGCCUGCCCAGUCGCGGUGUGUCAAACUCCUUUUCAAGGGAGCUAAGCCCCGUGAAACGGCGGGGGUAACUAUGACCCUCUUAAGGUAGCGUAAUGCCUUGUCAUCUGAAUGGUGACGUGCAUGAAUGGUUUAACGAUGUUGUCACUGUCCCUGGUUGGAGCCUUCUGAAAAUAUUAGUCCGGUGCACAGACCGGAGACGCCUAGUGGGAAGCGGAGACCUUGUGGACCUUUACUGCAACUUGUUGUUGUAAUUUUAGAAGAAACGCAUAGCAUAGGUAGGAGCGUCGAAGCUGUCAUUUCGGUGGCAGUGGAGCGAACUUGUAAUACUACCCAUUUUUUCUAGAAUUGCUUACCCUUAUGGGGACAGCAGCAGGCGGGCAGUUUGACUGGGGCGGUGCCCUGUCGAAAAAAUAUCGAUAGGACCCAAAGAUAAGCUCAUCCAGCUUGGAAAUCUGGAGUUGAGUGCGAGGGCAAAAGCUUAUCUGACUGUAUUCUGAACAGUAAUGAAUGCAGGAACGAAAGUUGGGCCUAGAGAACCCACGUGCUUUUUUAAUAGGAGCCGUGUCUGAUAGAAAAGGUACCCCAAGGAAAAUUGGCUGGUCGCCCCCGAUAGUCCGAAUUGACGGGGCGGGUUGGUGCUUCGCUGUCGGCUCUUCCUAUCCUGCGCGUGCAGAAGCGUGCAAGGGUGUCGGAGUUCACGCAUUAAAAGGGAUCGUUAGCUGGGUUAAGAACGUCGCGAGACAGUUUGUAUGAUAUCUACUAGGUGUGUUAUUGUCUGAGUGGAACAAGUCUAUAGUACGAGAGGAACUAGACUUGGAUGCCUCUGGUGAGCAGUUGUCAAUGGCAGGCUGCAUAGCUACGCAUUGUAUGGAUAAGAGCUGAAUGCAUCUAAGCUCGAAGCCAUUCGCAAAACGAGACAAUUAAGGCCGCUAAAGAAGAUAGCGUCGAUAGAGUUGCUGUGUAAUAUUCAAGCUUCGGCGAGAAUUUCAGCAGACAACUACUAAAAGCCUCAAAAUUAAUAU
rnacentral:rRNA from 1 species